rnacentral:misc_RNA from 1 species
GAUGAAGAACGUAGCGAAAUGCGAUAAGUAAUGUGAAUUGCAGAAUUCAGUGAAUCAUCGAAUCUUUGAACGCACCUUGCGCCCUUUGGCUAUUCCAGAGGGCAUGCCUGUUUGAGUAUCAUGAACACCUCAACUCUCAUGGUUCUGCCAUGAUGAGCUUGGACUUUGGAGGUCUUGCUGGCCCCUGUGGUCAGCUCCUCUCAAAUGGAUCAGCUUGCCAGUGUUUGGUGGCAUCACAGGAGUGAUAACUAUCUACGCUUGUGGUUUUCCACCAGGUAACCUUCAGUGAUGGAGGUUCGCUGGAGCUCAUAAACGUCUCUCCUCAGCGAGGACAGCUUCUUGAAUGUUUGAUCUCAAAUCAGGUAGGGCUACCCGCUGAACUUAAGCAUAUCAAUAAGCGGAGGA